GUUCUCCUUUUGGCAACACAUAUACAAAAAUUGAAACUAUACAGAGGUUAGCAUGACACCUGCGCAAAGAUGAAACAAAAAAUAUAUUAAGAAUUCAUUUUUAAU